UGCGUAACGCGUAUGCAACCUACCUUUAACUGGGACAUAGCCCCGAGAAAUCGGGAUUAAUAUCCCAUAAUAUCCAGAAAACGCAUGUUUUCUGGAUUAAAGUUCCGGCGGUUAAAGAUGGGCAUGCGUGGCAUUAGUUAGUUGGUGAGGUAACGGCUCACCAAGGCAAUGAUGCCUAGGGGUCCUGAGAGGGUUUUCCCCCACACUGGUACUGAGACACGGACCAGACUCCUACGGGAGGCAGCAGUAAGGAAUAUUGGGCAAUAGGCGCAAGCCUGACCCAGCCAUGCCGCGUGCAGGAUGACGGCCCUAUGGGUUGUAAACUGCUUUUGUAUGGGAAAAAACUCCCGCACGUGUGCGGGACUGAUUGUACCAUACGAAUAAGCAUCGGCUAACUCCGUGCCAGCAGCCGCGGUAAUACGGAGGAUGCAAGCGUUAUCCGGAUUUAUUGGGUUUAAAGGGUGCGCAGGCGGAUUAGUAAGUCAGUGGUGAAAGCUCCCGGCUCAACCGGGAAAAUGCCAUUGAUACCGUUAAUCUUGAGUACAGUUGAGGUUGGCGGAAUGUAUCAUGUAGCGGUGAAAUGCAUAGAUAUGAUACAGAACACCGAUAGCGAAGGCAGCUUACCAAACUGUAACUGACGCUCAUGCACGAAAGCGUGGGGAGCAAACAGGAUUAGAUACCCUGGUAGUCCACGCUGUAAACUAUGAUCACUCGCUGUUGGCAAUACACUGUCAGCGGCUUAGCGAAAGUGUUAAGUGAUCCACCUGGGGAGUACGAUCGCAAGGUUGAAACUCAAAGGAAUUGACGGGGGCCCGCACAAGCGGAGGAGCAUGUGGUUUAAUUCGAUGAUACGCGAGGAACCUUACCUGGGCUUAAAUGCAGAACGACCUCCCGAGAAAUCGGGACUUCCUUCGGGACGGACUGCAAGGUGCUGCAUGGUUGUCGUCAGCUCGUGCCGUGAGGUGUCGGGUUAAGUCCCAUAUCGA
rnacentral:rRNA from 1 species